UUUUUCGUACCACUUGCUCAAAAAAGUGACAUUCUAUGCCACAAAAAGCGAACAUACAAUAGCCAUUUUUAAUCUUAAAAAGUUCGGAAGAGC